GGCCUUUUGAGUAUGAUUUAAGGUCUAGCCUGCCCAAUGAUGGAGAAUUUAAUGGCCGCAGUAUUCUGACUGUGCAAAGGUAGCAUAAUCAUUAGUUUUUUAAUUGAAAGCUUGUAUGAAAGGUUUGAUGAGAAAAGGACUGUCUCAGUUUAAAAUUUUAGAAAUUUAUUUUUAAGUUAAAAAGCUUAAAUUUUCAUUGAAGACGAGAAGACCCUAUAGAGUUUUAUUUAUAUAAUAAUAAGGAAAAUUUAGUAUUUAAAAUUUUAUUAUUGUAUAAAUUUGGUUGGGGUGAUUAAAAAAUUUAAGUAACUUUUUUUUUAUUAUUACAUUUAUAUAUGAAUAAAUGAUCCUUUUUAGAUUAUAAGAUAAAAUUACCUUAGGGAUAACAGCGUAAUUUUUCUUAGAGUUCUUAUUGAAAGAAGAGAUUGCGACCUCGAUGUUGGAUUAAAAUUAAACUUUUGGUGAAGAAGCUAAAUAGUUAGGUCUGUUCGACCUUUAAAUUUUUACAUGAUCUGAGUUUAAACCGGUGUAAG
rnacentral:rRNA from 1 species